GCGCCCUUCGUCUAGCGGUUAGGACGGCGCCCUCUCACGGCGCAAACAGGGGUUCGAUUCCCCUAGGGCGUACCA
rnacentral:tRNA from 1 species